rnacentral:rRNA from 1 species
GAUGAACGCUAGCGGCAGGCUUAACACAUGCAAGUCGAGGGGUAACAGGGAAGAGCUUGCUUUUCCGCUGACGACCGGCGCACGGGUGAGUAACGCGUAUAGAACCUACCUUUUACAGGGGAAUAGCCCAGAGAAAUUUGGAUUAAUGCCCUAUAGUAUUAUUGAAUGGCAUCAUUUAGUAAUUAAACAUUUAUGGGUAAAAGAUGGCUAUGCGUUCUAUUAGCUAGAUGGUAAGGUAACGGCUUACCAUGGCAACGAUAGAUAGGGGUCCUGAGAGGGAGAUCCCCCACACUGGUACUGAGACACGGACCAGACUCCUACGGGAGGCAGCAGUGAGGAAUAUUGGACAAUGGAGGCAACUCUGAUCCAGCCAUGCCGCGUGCAGGAAGACGGCCCUAUGGGUUGUAAACUGCUUUUAUACGGGAAGAAACCCAACUACGUGUAGUUGGCUGACGGUACCGUAAGAAUAAGCACCGGCUAACUCCGUGCCAGCAGCCGCGGUAAUACGGAGGGUGCAAGCGUUAUCCGGAAUCAUUGGGUUUAAAGGGUCCGUAGGCGGGCUAAUAAGUCAGGGGUGAAAUCCAACAGCUUAACUGUUGAACUGCCUUUGAUACUGUUAGUCUUGAAUUAUAUGGAAGUAGAUAGAAUGUGUAGUGUAGCGGUGAAAUGCUUAGAGAUUACACAGAAUACCGAUUGCGAAGGCAGUCUACUACGUAUAUAU